rnacentral:lncRNA from 1 species
GUGAGUGGUGUUUUUACUUGAAGCAAUGGUGAGAUGCUGAGCCAGAAGGUCAUAGUCAACCUGCAGUAACCCCUCAUCUAAUAAGUCACUUUACCAGGAGUUCCAUCCACUUACAACACAGCUUUGACUCUGGUAUUAAUCAAAUAAAGUUUCUAGCUGUCCCCCAAAUGUUGAGACUUAAUGCAGUGAUGCUGAUAGUGUCCCCAGCCCUCCACUUUCACUGUCUUCCUUUCUUUAAAGCAGCAAAUGGAAGGAGGGAGGGAAGGUGGAGACAAACUACAGCUGAUCAACACCCUGUCCAUACGGAAGGAGCCAGAGUAACUUUUUCAAGAAAAUAAUACAGUCUGAAGGCAUCUGUUCAAAAGCCUUGUUUAUUUCUGAAACCCUAGUGCCUCACUGUAAACCAGCACAGGGCGGUAAUCAGAGUUCAUGGCUAUGGCCUCAAAUCCUCUGUCUGGGAAGGCAAGGAAGUGGAAGAAAGCUUCACUUUCUGUCAAUAGUUUAAAAGGUGGCAUUGCUUGUAUCAAGGAGGGGAAAUGUUUUUUAGAAUAAAAAACAUGUUGGCCUUAGGAGAUUGGUUGUCGAGAAGGAAUUCAUUUUCUUGUGAUACUAGAUAAGGGAGACAUUGAUGUGCUUUUUGCCAGAUUCAUUGUACAGAAGUACGUAAUAUUGUGUGUGAAUUACGAGCCAGAUGAUACAUAAGCUUUGAUCAUGUUUUAAGCUUUGAUCAUGUUUUUUCUUCUGUUCUAAUUCUCAAGGGAGAGCCUGGGGAUGUACAGGAGAUGCCUGCUCCAGAAUCUCCUCCUGGAAGGGAUCCAGCUGCAAAUUUGAGUCUAGCUUUACCAGAUGAUGACGGAAGUGAUGACAGCAGUCCACCAUCAGCCUCCCCUGCUGAAUCUGAGCCACAGUGUGAUCCCAGCUUUAAAGGAGAUGCAGGAGAAAAUACGGCAUUGCUAGAAGCCGGCAGGAGUGACUCUCGGCAUGGAGGACCCAUCUCCUAGCACACGUGCCCACUGAAGUGGCACCAACAGAAGUUUGGCUUGAACUAAAGGACAUUUUAUUUUUUUUACUUUAGCACAUAAUUUGUAUAUUUGAAAAUAAUGUAUAUUAUUUUACCUAUUAGAUUCUGAUUUGAUAUACAAAGGACUAAGAUAUUUUCUUCUUGAAGAGACUUUUCGAUUAGUCCUCAUAUAUUUAUCUACUAAAAUAGAGUGUUUACCAUGAACAGUGUGUUGCUUCAGACUAUUACAAAGACAACUGGGGCAGGUACUCUAAUAUAAAGGACAGGUGGUGUUUCUAAAUAAUUGGCUGCUAUGGUUCUGUAAAAACCAGUUAAUUCUAUUUUUCAAGGUUUUUGGCAAAGCACAUCAAUGUUAGACUAGUUGAAGUGGAAUUGUAUAAUUCAAUUCGAUAAUUGAUCUCAUGGGCUUUCCCUGGAGGAAAGGUUUUUUUUGUUGUUUUUUUUUUAAGAACUUGAAACUUGUAAACUGAGAUGUCUGUAGCUUUUUUGCCCAUCUGUAGUGUAUGUGAAGAUUUCAAAACCUGAGAGCACUUUUUCUUUGUUUAGAAUUAUGAGAAAGGCACUAGAUGACUUUAGGAUUUGCAUUUUUCCCUUUAUUGCCUCAUUUCUUGUGACGCCUUGUUGGGGAGGGAAAUCUGUUUAUUUUUUCCUACAAAUAAAAAGCUAAGAUUCUAUAUCG